CUAGUACUCCCUCCGUCCGGAAAUACUUGUCAUCAAAAUGGAUAAAAGGGGAUGUAUCUAGACGUAUUUUAGUUCUAGAUACAUCUCUUUUUAUCCAUUUUGAUGACAAGUAUUUUUGGACGGAGGGAGUACAUU
rnacentral:pre_miRNA from 1 species